rnacentral:rRNA from 1 species
AGCAGUCGCCACGGUAAUACGUAGGUGGCAAGCGUUGUCCGGAUUUAUUGGGCGUAAAGCGAGCGCAGGCGGUUUCUUAAGUCUGAUGUGAAAGCCCCCGGCUCAACCGGGGAGGGUCAUUGGAAACUGGGAGACUUGAGUGCAGAAGAGGAGAGUGGAAUUCCAUGUGUAGCGGUGAAAUGCGUAGAUAUAUGGAGGAACACCAGUGGCGAAGGCGGCUCUCUGGUCUGUAACUGACGCUGAGGCUCGAAAGCGUGGGGAGCGAACAGGAUUAGAUACCCCUGUAGUCCCUGUCUCUUAUAC